rnacentral:rRNA from 1 species
UACGAAGGGGGCUAGCGUUGCUCGGAAUCACUGGGCGUAAAGGGUGCGUAGGCGGGUCUUAAGUCGGGGGUGAAAUCCUGAGGCUCAACCUCAGAACUGCCUUCGAUACUGGCAAUCUCGAGUCCGGAAGAGGUUGGUGGAACAGCUAGUGUAGAGGUGAAAUUCGUAGAUAUUAGCUAGAACACCAGUGGCGAAGGCGGCCAACUGGUCCGGUACUGACGCUGAGGUGCGAAAGCGUGGGGAGCCAAACA